rnacentral:rRNA from 1 species
UGGGGAAUAUUGCACAAUGGGGGAAAGCCCUGAUGCAGCGACGCCGCGUGAGGGAAGACGGCCUCGGGUUGUAAACCUCUGUCUUUGGGGACGAUAAUGACGGUACCCAAGGAGGAAGCUCCGGCUAACUACGUGCCAGCAGCCGCGGUAAUACGUAGGGAGCGAGCGUUGUCCGGAAUUACUGGGUGUAAAGGGAGCGUAGGCGGGAAUGCAAGUUGGAUGUGAAAACUCCGGGCUUAACCCCGGAGACUGCAUUCAAACUGUAUUUCUUGAGUGAUGUAGAGGCAGGCGGAAUUCCUAGUGUAGCGGUGAAAUGCGUAGAUAUUAGGAGGAACACCAGUGGCGAAGGCGGCCUGCUGGGCAUUUACUGACGCUGAGGCUCGAAAGUGUGGGGAGCAAACAGGAUUAGAUACCC